AUUGAACGCUGGCGGCAUGCCUUACACAUGCAAGUCGAACGGUAACGGGUCUUCGGAUGCUGACGAGUGGCGAACGGGUGAGUAAUACAUCGGAACGUGCCUAGUAGUGGGGAUAACUACUCGAAAGAGUGGCUAAUACCGCAUGAGAUCUACGGAUGAAAGCAGGGGAUCGCAAGACCUUGUGCUACUAGAGCGGCCGAUGGCAGAUUAGGUAGUUGGUGGGAUAAAAGCUUACCAAGCCGACGAUCUGUAGCUGGUCUGAGAGGACGAUCAGCCACACUGGGACUGAGAAACGGCCCAGACUCCUACGGGAGGCAGCAGUGGGGAAUUUUGGACAAUGGGCGCAAGCCUGAUCCAGCAAUGCCGCGUGCAGGAUGAAGGCCUUCGGGUUGUAAACUGCUUUUGUACGGAACGAAAAGCCCCGGGUUAAUACCCUGGGGUCAUGACGGUACCGUAAGAAUAAGCACCGGCUAACUACGUGCCAGCCGCCGCCGUAA
rnacentral:rRNA from 1 species